GGGGGGGGGGGGGGGGGGGCGGAGGGGGGGGGGGGCGGGGGGGGGGGGGGGGGGGGGGGGGGGGGCUGGGGUGGCGGAGGGGGGAGUGGCACGGGGGUGACGUGCCCGUGGCUUUGGGAUCGCUUCAGGAACCUGGGGCUACUACCGGAUAGGAGAUCCUGCUGCAUGGUGGGGGGUGGCACGUUUCGGCGGUUGGGGAUGGAUUCGCGGCUUCUCCGCUUGUUGGUGGGGUAGUGGCUUACCAAGGCCUUGCCGGGUCGCCAGCGUGAGCGGGUGACCGGCCACAUUGGGACUGAGAAACGGCCCAGACGCCUACGGGAGGCAGCGGUGGGGAAUAUUGCACAAUGGGCGGAAGCCUGAUGCAGCAACGCCGCGUGCGGGAUGACGGCCUUCGAGUUGUAAACCGCUUUCGCCUGUGACGAAGCGUGAGUGACGGUAAUGGGUAAAGAAGCACCGGCUAACUACGUG
rnacentral:rRNA from 1 species